GUCCACAGGCCGGGGCUGAGAAGCCCGGCUUUAAGGGAAACAGCCAUUUCUUUCUCUAUUUGCCUUUUGUGGAAGGGUUUCAGGCCCCAGCUCCGCAGGCACCAUGAAGCUCAGCUGCUGGACCACCCUGUGACCUCCCUCCUCUGAAGAGUUCCUGUCACCCACACUCCUCAGCACAGGAGAAUUCUGACCCCCAGCCCCGCACCGGCUGCCCCUCUGCAGAGCUGGCAGGGCCAGGUGGUUGGGUGUGUCCCUCACACUGGGGGACAUGGAGAUGGCUCUGCUGUGGCUGGUGAGGAGGGCCUCAGAGGGAGGCUGAGCCCCGCGGUCCCCACAGGAAGAGGGAGCAGCUGGACCUAGACCCUCCCUGGCUUCCAGAGAGUGCCUACAUUCUCUCUUGGCUGUCUUGAAUGUCGUCAUUCACUCAUGGAGGAGGGACAGCGAGAGGCAGCACAGGAGCAAAACAGUCCCUUCCGGAUGCUACUGGCGGGCGAGUCCUCUCCAGUGGAGAUCCAUCUCCUCCCUGGAAGGGGUCUGCAGCCCCGAGCUGGCAAUGACCUCAGCUCCCUGGGGACCGACCGGCCACAUCCGCCAAAUAUGGGGUGUGGUGGGUCCCAGUGGCCCACAAGCUCCUGUUCAGGUCCCGGCUUCCCAUUGGGGAGAGCAAAGAAAGCCACGGUGCUGGGCAUCUGGGAAGGAGUGUGGAUGCUCGGAGCCGAUUAUUAACCCAUCACGCACAAGCUGGGAAGAGGAGGAGGCGUCUGUCUUUAGCGGCUCCUUCCUCCCACCCCACCAGCCAGCCCUGGGCGACACACUUACAACAUCUUUUUCCCCCCAAAUCCGCAGCUGGCAGAGCCCCUGGGGGUUAUAAAUAGGAAACAGCAGAGGCCCAGGGAGCUCCCCAGGAGAGGGGACAGCCCUUUAUCUGCCUAAGCCCUGAGCUGUCCUGACAGUGGUGCAAACCUGCCCGCUUGGGCCGGUCCGGGAGGUUUGCUGGCCUGGGCCACAGGGCCACCAGGGUGAGAUGGGCGAGAGCGCAUCCUCGCAGACCCGCAUCCUCCCUUCUAUCUGCCCCACCUGGGGCUGGGCGGCAGCACUUGCCUCCAUCCGCCUCCCGGGCGCUGGAGCAGGAGACAGGCUCACUCACCUCUCGUCUGUCACUGUCCCUGUCACCGGCAAACAAAGGCGAGCGCUCCCGGUGCGCGGCACUCCUGGCCCCGGGCCUUCAGAGCCUCGCGGGGAGAGGCUGGCGGGGACUCGGCAUCCCGGGAAGGUCACCCUGGGCGACGCGGCGGCCGAGCUCUUCCGUGCAGGGCGGUGGAGCGGGUCUGGGUCAGCAGCGGGCUCCCGCUGGCCGGGCG
rnacentral:lncRNA from 1 species